rnacentral:piRNA from 1 species
UGAAUGAAGGUGUGAAAGGGAAGAAGCUU